UCCGAGUUCCCUGGAACGGGACGCCAUAGAGGGUGAGAGCCCCGUCUGGUUGGAUGCCAAAUCUCUGUAAAGUUCCUUCAACGAGUCGAGUAGUUUGGGAAUGCUGCUCUAAAUGGGAGGUAUAUUGUCUUCUAACAGCUAAAUACCGGCCAGGAGACCGAUAGCGCACAAGUAGAGUGAUCGAUAAGAUGAAAAGCACUCUUGAAAAGAGAGUUAAAAAGUACGUAAAUUGUUGAAAGGAAGCGUAUUAUGACCAGACUUGGGCUUGGUUAAUCAUCUUGGGUUCUCCCCAGUGCACUUUCCAGUCCAGGCCAGCAUCAGUUUUCCCCGGGGAUAAUAGGCGGCGGGAAUGUGCUCUCUUCGGGGAGUCGUUAUAGCCCACCGGUAAUACCUGGGGGACUGAGGUUC
rnacentral:rRNA from 1 species